GUAAUAGUCCUGUAAGUGAAACGAGAAGACCACGAGUUAUGAUCCAGAGUACCACGAGACACGUGAAACCUUGUGGGAAGCAGGGAGGACCACCUCCCAAGGCUAAAUACUACCUGAUGACCGAUAGUGAAGCAGUACCGUGAGGGAAAGGUGAAAAGAACCCCGGGAGGGGAGUGAAAUAGAACCUGAAACCGUGUGCCUACAACCGCUCAGAGCCCCUUAUGAGGGUGAUGAGGUGCUUUUUGUAGAACGAGCCAACGAGUUACGGUAUGUAGCAAGGUUAAGUACUUAAGGUACGGAGCCGAAGGGAAACCGAGUCUGAAUAGGGCGACUAGUUGCAUGCCGUAGACCCGAAACCGGGUGACCUAUCCAUGGCCAGGUUGAAGCGAGGGUAAAACCUCGUGGAGGACCGAACCACGUUGCUGUUGAAAAAGCAUGGGAUGAGCUGUGGAUAGCGGAGAAAUUCCAAUCGAACCCGGAGAUAGCUGGUUCUCUCCGAAAUAGCUUUAGGGCUAGCGUCGAGUAUGAGUAGUGGAGGUAGAGCACUGAAUGGGCUAGGGGGCAUAGCGCUUACCGAACCUUAUCAAACUCCGAAUGCCACAUACUUUGAGCUCGGCAGUCAGACUACGAAUGAUAAGAUCCGUGGUCAAAAGGGAAACAGCCCAGAUCGUCAGCUAAGGUCCCAAAGUGUAAGUUAAGUGGGAAAGGAUGUGAGAUUUCUAAGACAACUAGGAUGUUGGCUUAGAAGCAGCCAUUCAUUAAAAGAGUGCGUAAUAGCUCACUAGUCGAGAGAUCUUGCGCCGAAAAUGUAACGGGGCUAAACUUACCACCGAAGCUACGGGCUUGAACAUAGUUCAAGCGGUAGGAGAGCGUCGUAACCGGGCUGAAGUCGUACCGUAAGGAGCGGUGGACUGGUUACGAGUGAGAAUGUUGGCAUCAGUAGCGAGAUGUGGGUGAGAAUCCCACAGGCCGAAAACCUAAGGUUUCCUCAGGAAGGUUCGUCCGCUGAGGGUUAGUCGGGACCUAAGCCGAGGCCGAAAGGCGUAGGUGAUGGACAACUGGUUGAUAUUCCAGUACCACUACCAUCGUUAUUAUCGAUGGCGUGACGCAGGAGGAUAGUGUGUGCUAGCUAUUGGAUGCUAGUCUAAGCGUUUAGGCAGUGAGAGUAGGCAAAUCCGCUCUCAUAAUGCUGAGGCGUGAUGGGGAAGGUUCCACGGAACCGAAGUACAUGAUUCCACGCUGCCAAGAAAAGCGUCUAGAGAGAGAAGUAGUGCCCGUACCGCAAACCGACACAGGUAGGUGAGGAGAGAAUCCUAAGGCCGGCGGAAGAAUUACAGUUAAGGAACUCGGCAAAUUGACCCCGUAAGUUCGCGAGAAGGGGUGCCUACGAGAGUAGGCCGCAGAGAAUAGGCCCAAGCAACUGUUUAGCAAAAACACAGGUCUCUGCUAAAGCGUAAGCUGAUGUAUAGGGGCUGACGCCUGCCCGGUGCUGGAAGGUUAAGGGGAACACUUAGCGCAAGCGAAGGUGUGAACUUAAGCCCCAGUAAACGGCGGCCGUAACUAUAACGGUCCUAAGGUAGCGAAAUUCCUUGUCAGGUAAGUUCUGACCCGCACGAAUGGCGUAAUGACUUGGGCACUGUCUCAACUGUAAAUCCGGCGAAGUUGUAGUGCGAGUGAAGAUGCUCGCUACCCGCGAUUGGACGGAAAGACCCCGUAGAGCUUUACUGUAGCUUAGCAUUGAGUUUUGGUAUUGUCUGUACAGGAUAGGUGGGAGACUAGGAAACCAGGGCGUCAGCCUUGGUGGAGUCAACCUUGGGAUACCACCCUGACAGUACUGAAAUUCUAACUGGCGGCCAUGAAUCUGGUCACAGGACAUUGUUAGGUGGGCAGUUUGACUGGGGCGGUCGCCUCCUAAAAAGUAACGGAGGCGCCCAAAGGUUCCCUCAGAACGGUCGGAAAUCGUUCGAAGAGUGCAAAGGCAGAAGGGAGCCUGACUGCGACACCCACAAGUGGAGCAGGGACGAAAGUCGGGCUUAGUGAUCCGGUGGUACCUCGUGGGAGGGCCAUCGCUCAACGGAUAAAAGCUACCUCGGGGAUAACAGGCUGAUCUCCCCCAAGAGUCCACAUCGACGGGGAGGUUUGGCACCUCGAUGUCGGCUCGUCGCAUCCUGGGGCUGAAGUAGGUCCCAAGGGUUGGGCUGUUCGCCCAUUAAAGCGGCACGCGAGCUGGGUUCAGAACGUCGUGAGACAGUUCGGUCCCUAUCCGUCGCGGGCGUAGGAAAUUUGAGAGGAGCUGUCCUUAGUACGAGAGGACCGGGAUGGACUGACCUCUGGUGUACCAGUUGUUCCGC
rnacentral:rRNA from 1 species